CAGAUAAUCACUGAAAUAGAAAUUAUGUGUAACUCUAUAAAAUAGAAAUUUGAAGAAAUUGAAGCAAGUUCAAUUUCUUCAAAAUCUACAUUUUGGUAAAAUCUACAUUUAAACUUUUACAUUUUAGUUUUUAUAAUUAUAUGUCACCAAACACUACAUAAAUGCCUUCAAAUCUUUUCCAGAUUUACCUCAGUGUGCUCUACAAAUAUUUUGUGCACUUCAUAAAAGAUAUUUAUGGCUGGGUGCUGUGGCUCAUGCCUGUAAUGUCAGCACUUUGAGAGGCUGAGGUGGGAGGAUCACUUGAAGCCAGGAGUUCAAGACAAGCCUGGGCAACAUAGCAAGACUCUGUCUCUACAAAAUAAAAGUUAAAAAAAGUUACCUAGGCAUGGUGGUGAUAUAUGCCUGUAGUCCCAUCUAUUUUGGAGGCUGAGUCAGGCUGGAGCCCAGGAAUGUGAGGCUCCAGUGAGCCAUGAUCACACGAAACUCCAACCUAGGCAACAGAGCAAGACCCUGUCUCAAAGAAAGGUAUUCAGGUUCCAUAAUAGCAGAUUACAAGAGCCAAAAUAAUAAUCAUCAAUACCAUUUUUACUCCUAGAUCCAUAUGGUUUGUGAAUACAGGUUUUCAUUCUUUACUGCACUCGUCUGUGCUCUGUCCAACUUUCCAUGAUCUUCUUCCGUACCUCCUUCGCAGCUAAAGCAAAAAAAAAAAAAAAAAAAAAAAAAGAGCAUCACAUUUCCUCCUUCCUUCACAUUUCUGGUCUAAUUAUUUUGGAGACAGAGUGAGAAAAUUACACCACAGGCAGGAAUAAUCAGAAAGAACACACUUCAGAGUAUGUAAGUGCUACAUAAACAAAUGCAAAUAAAUGCACAAGUGCCAUGAUGCUUGGGAAAUUUAAGGGAAAAUGCCAUAUUAAUAUGACUCUAAACUUUGAAAUUUCAACAGGUCAAUCAAAUGCAUUUACAUGCAUUUUUGUCAAUGGGAAAAUACCACUUUUCAAGGCAUGGCAAGUAUACGAACUCCGGAAAAUUACUCUCACAGGAUGUCAGAUCACCAAGCCGUGCAGCAAUUGGGAUAAAGACCUAAUACAAAGAAUGCUAUUCUGAGAUCCAAAAGAAAUGAAUCACAGACCCAGUUUGUUUCUUUUCACAUCUUUGUAAUACUGAAUACACCCAAGCCUUCCCAAGUCUUUGGUUACUUGGCGUGUUCAGACUAUGUUGACCACAGUCCUAGAGAGAAAAAACAAGUUUUAUGUUAGUUCCUGACUCCAUUGAAAGAUAUGCCAUUUAAAAUGUCCUAGAAGACCUUUUAAAUAUGACUUUGUAUUUAUUUUAGAAUAAAAUUUAAAAUUAAAAAACAUAUUUUAACAUGAUCUUUAAGUCCUGAAUAGUUGAUCUUCCUGUGUAUUUGUUCAGUCUCAUUUUGUACUUUUCUUCCCAACACUGUGUAAGCUUCAGUGACAUGAGCGCAUCUGAAAAUGUGGAAGCAACUUUAGAACUGGGUAACAGGCAGAGGGGUGAACAGUUCGGAGGGCUCAGAAGAAGACAGGAAAAUGUGGGAAAGUUUGGAACUUCCUAAAGACUUGGAGGGCUCAGAAGACAGGAAGAUGUGGUAAGGUUUGGAGCUUCCUAGAGAUUUGUUGAACGGCUUUGACCAAAAUGCUGACAGUGAUAUGGACAAUGAAGUCCAGGCUGAGGUGGUCACAGAUGGAGAUGAGGAACUUGUUGGCAAGUGGAGUAAAGGUCACUCUUGCUAUGCAAAGAUGGGGAUGAGGCACAGUGGACUCAGCUUCUGCCUGCAAUAAUCUUUGAUUCUAUGAAAAGAGCUCACAUGUGAAGAUGAGCUACUCUCAUAAUGACAUUAUAGCUACAGUUGUAAAAGUAGGUGUAAUUAGUAGGAUGAUGACAGCUGAAGUUCAGAAAGUAUUUGAGUUUGGAGAGAAAAGUAGAGGAUGGUGGAUUGAGCCUGUGUGUCAUUAAUUGGCUCCAUAGGGAGGUACAACCCCCACUGCUGGCUUCCUCACCUCUGUUCUCUGACCUAUUCACUUUGCUGGUGCUGUCAGUGAAGUAGGCUAGAGAGCAGCUGUUCUAAAGAGGAAUGUGGGAGAGACAGCAACUGGUUAUAGAAAGUAAGAAACUAGGAAGAUGGGUAAUUCAUCUAAAGCAAAGUCAAAUUAAAAUUGGUUCUUCCUUUGAUGCUUUGAGCUACAGAGGAAUUUUGAAAAGUUCUUAAGAGGAACUUAAAAAGUAGAUUCAGGGAUAUUUUGUCUGAUGGCAGAAACUUAUAUUCAGUCUAGUAAAAAAAAAAAAGAUGAAAUUGUCUUUUCAGUAUCAUCGCUAGUGGUAACAGUGUCAAAAAUAUUCAUCCCCCUAUGUCAGAGCUAACAGCUGGUCUGAAGAAUUCCUACUCUUAAAAUAUACUAGAUUAAAAGAAUAGCAAAUAUGUUUAUAUAUAUUUUAAACUGAGAAGAAAGGAAAGGAAAGAGAAUAAAAGAAAUAGGAAUCAGAAUAGAAAAAAGAAAAAGAAAUACAAAUAAAGGAAAAUAUAGGAGGAAACCAAUGUAAAGAAAAACUACCCAGGGUUUAGAAGACAACUUGCCUUUGAGGAGUUCAAGUUAUAAAAGAAUUUGAUAAGCAUAUGAAUUCAAGAAAAACUAGAAUCCAAACAUGUGAUUUUUUUUUUAAAGAAUGAGACAGACAGUAAAUUGAGAAUUUAAAAGCACCACUACAGUCCAAAUAGAUCAAUUAUAAAAGCAAGGGUUGGGAUAGCCACUGUCAAAAAUCAAAUUACUGUCUUAGAGAACAGGUAGAAGAUAAUGAUUC
ensembl:lncRNA